UCCGAGUUGUAAUUUGCAGAGGGCGCUUUGGUGUUGGCAGCGGUCCAAGUUCCUUGGAACAGGACGUCACAGAGGGUGAGAAUCCCGUACGUGGUCGCUAGCCUCCGCCGUGUAAAGCCCCUUCGACGAGUCGAGUUGUUUGGGAAUGCAGCUCUAAAUGGGAGGUAAAUUUCUUCUAAAGCUAAAUACUGGCCAGAGACCGAUAGCGCACAAGUAGAGUGAUCGAAAGAUGAAAAGCACUUUGGAAAGAGAGUCAAAUAGCACGUGAAAUUGUUGAAAGGGAAGCGCUUGCAGCCAGACUUGCCUGUAGUUGCUCAUCCGGGCUUUUGCCCGGUGCACUCUUCUACAGGCAGGCCAGCAUCAGUUUGGGCGGUUGGAUAAAGGUCUCUGUCACGUUCCUCUCUUCGGGGAGGCCAUAUAGGGGAGACGACAUACAACCAGCCUGGACUGAGGUCCGCGCAUUUGCUAGGAUGCUGGCGUAAUGGCUGUAAGCGGCCCGUCUUGAAACACGGACCAAGGAGUCUAACAUCUAUGCGAGUGUUUGGGUGUCAAGCCCGAACGCGUAAUGAAAGUGAACGGAGGUGGGAACCCUUGGGUGCACCAUCGACCGAUCCUGAUGUCUUCGGAAGGAUUUGAGUAAGAGCAUGGCUGUUGGGACCCGAAAGAUGGUGAACUAUGCUUGAAUAGGGU
rnacentral:rRNA from 1 species